UACGUAGGGUGCGAGCGUUUGUCCGGAAUUACUGGGCGUAAAGAGCUCGUAGGUGGUUUGUCGCGUUGUUCGUGAAAACUCACGGCUUAACUGUGAGCGUGCGGGCGAUACGGGCAGACUGGAGUACUGCAGGGGAGACUGGAAUUCCUGGUGUAGCGGUGGAAUGCGCAGAUAUCAGGAGGAACACCGGUGGCGAAGGCGGGUCUCUGGGCAGUAACUGACGCUGAGGUGCGAAAGCGUGGGGGAGCGAACAGG
rnacentral:rRNA from 1 species